CAAUUUUAAAUGAUAUCAGGCAACUCGGUCCUUCUGUUAACUUGGCCAACUGUCAAACCAGUAACGGAAGGACUGAGUUGCCUAAUGUCGUUCAUAAUUGG
rnacentral:pre_miRNA from 1 species